rnacentral:rRNA from 1 species
UCCAGACUCCUACGGGAGGCAGCAGUGGGGGAUAUUGCACAAUGGGGGGAACCCUGAUGCAGCGACGCCGCGUGGGUGAAGGAGCGUUUCGGCGCGUAAAGCCCUAUCGGCAGGGAAGAAGGAGGACGGUACCUGACUAAGGAGCCCCGGCUAACUACGUGCCAGCAGCCGCGGUAAUACGUAGGGGGCAAGCGUUAUCCGGAUUUACUGGGUGUAAAGGGGGCGCAGACGGCAGCGCAAGCCAGGAGUGAAAGCCCGGGGCCCAACCCCGGGACUGCUCUUGGAACUGCGCGGCUGGAGUGCAGGAGGGGCAGGCGGAAUUCCUGGUGUAGCGGUGAAAUGCGUAGAUAUCAGGAGGAACACCGGUGGCGAAGGCGGCCUGCUGGACUGCGACUGACGUUGAGGCCCGAAAGCGUGGGGAGCAAACAGGAUUAGAUACCCUAGUA